rnacentral:rRNA from 1 species
UCCGUAGGCGGUGUGGUAAGUCGAUAGUGAAAUCUCUGGGCUUAACCCAGAGGCUGCUAACGAAACUGCCAUGCUAGAGUGUGAGAGAGGCGAGUGGAAUUACGGGUGUAGCGGUGAAAUGCGUAGAUAUCCGUAGGAACAUCCGAGGCGAAGGCGGCUCGCUGGAUCACAACUGACGCUGAGGGACGAAAGCUAGGGGAGCAAACAGGAUUAGAUACCCUGGUAGUCCUAGCCCUAAACCAUCAGGACUUGAGGUUUGCCCUGUACGGGGCAAGUCCCGUAGCUAACGCGUUAAGUCCUGCGCCUGGGGAGUACGGUCGCAAGACUGAA